rnacentral:sRNA from 1 species
GAAAAACAAAGAAGAAGCAAAAAUCCAAGUUAACUAGAUUUUAACCCGCGGUAUACCGCGCGGCUAUAUAUUGUUAGAAAAUAAU